CUUCGCUGGGAGCCUUCCUGGCGCGAGAGCCGGAUCCAGCGGGGCUGUGAGGAGAGGAGACGGCGGCGGCGGGAGACGGGAGGGGGGCGGACCGGAGCCGGGGACAGAGGAGGAACACGCCGCCGCGCCCUCUCCCUCUUCUGCCUCUCGCCUCGCCGACCUCACGGGGCUCCGCUCGGAGCAGGAGGAGACGCCGGGCCCUCGCCGGGGCGGAGGGCGCCCUGCAGCCCGGGCGCCCCGAAACGGAGGAUUCGCAGUGGAGGACCGCGCCGGGGCUGGAGCCCCCCGCGGCCCCGAAAUCGCCGGCUGCGCCAGGUAAGUGCGCUGCGCCCCCGCCCCACCCCGUCCCCGCCCUGUGCCGGCUCCCGCCGGGAGCGGCGCCCCGAAGGGUCCCCUGGGGCUGCACUGCGCCCCAGCCCCGAGAAGCCCCGAGAAACGACGCGGUAAGAGUUCCAAGCCGCGGGCGGGGAUAGAGCGCGCGGGGUUCCAGUCUGGCCGCACUUUGGGGACUGGCUCCAGUAGCGGGAACUUUAAUUAGACUUUUGCUCCUUGGAUUUUGCUCGUCGCCGCGCGUCUGUGAACUGUCACCCCGCGGGCUCAAUCGGUCCCUGCGGAUCCUCCGCUCCUCUUCUUCGCCCUGGAUGCUGGGCGCGGGGAGGCAGCGUCGCCCCGGAGAGAGCAGUGCGGGAGCCCGGGGGCGCCCCGAGCUUUCCCGCGCGCUGGGGACGGGGACUCGGAGACAGGUUGUGACAGGGAGGCCCGAGGGAGGAGUUAGAGGCUACCUUCUUGGCUUCCUACGCUACGGCGGAAGGUGCGCCCGCGUUCCAUUUGCGCGCAUCCUCACCCCACGACUCUCCGACGCACCAGCCUGUUUUGUACUCAAGGAGAGUGUGUGUGCGUCAGUGAUCCUGUGAAGGUGUGUGCGUGCGCGUGUCCAGGAGUGCAGUAGUGCAGGAGCCCGGGGGUGGGCGGUGAAAGGAUCCGCUUUGCCGCGGGACCCAGCCGCGCUCCGGCGGCGGCUGCAGCUCUAGCUGCUGGCUUCUAGUUCUGCGACCAGCUCUGGCCUCGCUCGAGGCCGUCCCCGCCCGGCCAAGGCGCGUUCGCGGGAUUUAGUCGUGCCAGUGGUGGCGCUUGUGUCGGAGGUGACCUCUUUCUCUUCCCCUAACUUUGGCGGUACAUUUAGGGCUCCAGGCCCUGCGACCCCGACCUGGAGCUGGCGGCAACCACGCAGCGCCCUGGGCUGUGGGCACCCGUUGCCCGGCUCUCUGUCCUAGCCGAAAAGUAGGGGCCAACCCCGGGAUUCCCUGUCCCUUAGCGGCCUUCGAUAUUGUGGUGGACCCUGGUCCUUGGGCCGCCUCCCAGCCGGAGCCUGGGCCGUGAUUGGCUCUGCUAAGUGAAGCGGACUGGGCCCCCUGUUUAUGUUUGGCAGCAAUCUGGCCUGGCAGCAGAGCCUGAAGGAGAGGCCAGUGAGUGAAGGGACAAGUGUUGGGGAGGAGCGGUGGUUGCAGAGGGGUUAGGGGCAGACAAGCCCCUUUCCUAUCCCUGGCCUGCUUACAAGCUGCACUGCCAAGAUCCCUUCCUUCCGCUGAUCUCUCAUAUCUGAGUUCACCUUGACCCCUGCCCAUGGGGUGGAGAACUUUCCCUAAGUCCAGCGCUAGAACAGUGCAGCCUCCAGGCAAGAGUGGCAGAGCCCUCUUUAAAAUUUCCCAGCUGCCAUAGCCUCUCCUAGCCACCCUUUGCUCCUGUCCCAAAGGCGAGUCAGACAGGCCACCAGGAAGGGUGACAUUUUGGUCCCUGGAGGAGGCCCUGUUUUAAUCCAGACAACCCACCGCAUGCGUCAGGAUGUGUUGUGGGGAGCCCUUGGCCGGUGUGAAGCACAUUCCAAAGACUUGGUCAGACUCGCCUCUGUGAAGUGACCCAAAAGAGGGGUAACAUUCAGACUCUGAAGAGAAUUGAGCCUCAUAGGAUGAUCAAUAACGCCAAUAGCAGUUGAAUAGAAAAAAAAAAAAACCCCGCAAAGUCUGACCCCAUCCAUUGUCUGGCCCCUUCACCCUGGGACAGAGGGAAGGCACAGCAUAUUUAUUUAUUUACCUGGAAUCAGACUCCGUGAGAGUGAAUUAUGUUGCCCUAGUAUUGAUUUUUAAAAGACUCCAAAUUAAAAAGUCUAGGCUUUCUUAAAGCAAGGUCAAGGAUUAAUUAUUUAUAGAGAGACAUCAAUCAGUCAGUGGGGGGAGGGGCUCACUUCCAAAUUGCCUGAGCAGGCAAAAGGGAGCAUCUUCUGAUUUUCCCUGCUUUGGCUAGGAAAGAAACAGCCUUGUCUGACCUCUUGGGCUUCGCAGAGUUGUCCUGAACGGUGACCGUAGGAGUAUGUUCUGUAACUCAGCCUGCAGUUGGAGAUGCCUUUUUAAUCUUGUAGCCAGAAUAUCACUUGGGAAAUUUCAUGCAUAUUUGCUGUGUUUCCAUAAUGAACAUUUACUGAUUACAGAGUAUCAAGGGAAUUUCAUUUUUUAAACAUUUAUUCAAAUCUCUGUUUAUGAAAGCUAAUAAGUCUGAGAAAGUUCAGUAACUACUUUUUUUUUUUUUUUUUUUUUUUGGCCAUAUGGUUGUUGGGAAAAUAUGCCUGGUGGGCUCAUCUCAGAAUUCACCUUCUAAAGGAGGAACAUCAGGUUCUCCUGAUUGGAAAUGCCGUGCAGGCUGCUUCUCUGUUCAUCACUCCGGUUGAUGGCGGUGGUGGCCGGACAGGCUAUUUGUGGUUGUGCCGAUUGAAGAGACGGGAGUUUUAUUCAUCGCUAGCUGAUGCAUCUGGUUGAAGGCACAUGCAGUAGGCAGUGGGAUAUUUGGGGGGAUGAUGGGGGAAGGUGUGGUGCCCAGUCUCUUACCUGCUGCCUGGCCUAGAGUCUCAGACACUUGUCUUAGCCGUACCUGCCACACCUCCCUGGUUUACCCACAUGUGGCAACCAUGUGGGAGAAACAUGGAACUUGGAGGGAGCAUAUGGGCAAGAAAGUGGACAAAGGAUUAUGGUAGCUCUUUCAUGAACAACUAUGGCAAUUAGAGUCAGUAAACACUGUGAAACAAGUACCCAGCCUUUCAGCUAAUCAGAAGGUAAUGAGUUAUAAACAGGAAAUUUAUGUAGUGCUGGCCCAAGGAGAUCAAUGUGACUGUGACACGGGACAACGAGACAUAAAAAAGUGAUCAAGAAUGAUUGUCUGGAUGUGUAAGUGGCCACAGUAUCUGGGAGCCUGGGGAUGUUUGCUGGGGGCAGGCAAGAGCAUGCUAACGGCGUGGUGACAGUAAGCUCCCCAGCACUGUCUUUGGAGCCACUGCCAAAGCUCGUCUGAUGCCAGAGCAGCUGUGUUCCCUCCCUCCUGGGAAAAGGCUGCCCAAAGGCAGAGGAAACCCUUGAGCUCAGGCAGCCGGAGGACAGAGCCGCAUUAGCUCAGGUAGCAGAGGACAUAGGAGACGCCAUCUCAUUUCCUUCCGGCUGGAGGAUGUGUGACCCUGCGGUCGGUAAAUCACGGCGACAGAAGAUGAGACUUACAAAUUGGCCGUGGGAAAAAGUUGUGACUUUUACCCUGUACAAAACUACCUGUCAUUUGUGAUCUGGUGCUCCAGGCUGCACCUGCUGGCCACAGAUGUGUCCUCAGCCACUGGCAGGCUGGAGUGGCCUGCGUGCAUCCAGGUGGGUUGACAGCGAGAAGCAAAAUUCCAUCGUGAAAGCAACCUUUGGGGAAGUCAGAGAGUGUCUGCAGGCAGGGGGCCUGGGUCCCAGCAUUUCCACUCCCCACCUUGAAGGUCAUGCACUCCUGGGAAAUCGGUACUUCUUGCUACUGGUGACUGACAGCAAGACACCCUGUCCCUGCCAACCCAAGGCUAGAGCUGGGCCUGGUCAGCAACAUUUAUUUGACCUAAAUUAAAACUGUUAAUGUUGAAACCUAAAGCUAAAGAAUGCUGUGUCCCAUACUCCCAGCGUCAGACUCCUUGUUGCCCUCUAUUCAGUGACCAAACACAAGCGUGUAUUUGGUGUCUGUUGUUGGAUCAGGCUCUGGGAAAGACCAAACUAAGAGCGCUCCCUCCUCUUGCAGGUUUUGUCAUCUGUUGGAACAGAAACCCCAUCACCAUCCACUCAUCACGCACCGAUUUAUGCUGUGCCAGAUGGUCCCAUUACUAAACAGGUCACCAAUGCAUGUAUGAUUCUAGGCCCUGAUGAACAUGUAGAGGAAAUAUCCGUGUGGUUGCAAGACAGAGGUUUACGAUAAAGUAAUCCGACCUAGACCGAGGGCCCUGGAGGACUUCCUGAGGAGGUGACUCUCCACUGAGAUCUGAAAGAAGAGCUGUAACUAAGCAUGGAGGGCGCUUUCCAGUGCAGAAUGUGAAUGAGUGAGAGAGAUGGAGCUGACCAGGAGCUGUGGGAAGGCCCAUGUGGCCAGCAGGGUGAAAGGGGGAGAUGGGGUUGGAGACUCAGACAGAGUCCUGACUGUACACAGCCUCAAAGGCCAGGGAGGGGCCUGCUGCAGAGCAGGGAGCCCAGCGAGGAGGGGCUGCAGUAAUCCUGGAAGGAGGCAGCUGUGGUCCUCCAGCAGGGCGGUGGACCUGAAUCUCCUGGGGCCUGGUUCAGUGCAGAGCAGAGAAGACGAGGGGACGUGAGAUGGUCAGGACCACGACUGGAAGAUGUCAGCACCCUGAGGCAGGGCCCCUCGGACCAAACUGUUCCAAGUGCUCCUCCACUCUCGCUGGGUUCGACCCCCCAGGGCCGGCAGGUCAGGCUGCCACUUGUGCGGCCCUGCCUCUGUGCCCCUGCCCACCUGUCUCACGUCCUCAGCCAACCCCUGAGCCCUUGGGCCUGCUGCUGCCUCCCCCAGGUGUUCACCUUUUAGGCCUGGCUCACGGUGGGCGCACAGCAGGUGGCAGCGCAGGGUCAGUGUUUUCAUGAGGACGGUUGAUCGGACACUUGCCGUCAUGCCCCCCUGCUGGCCAGAGGUUGCAUCCUUGGUAGGUCCUUAAGCUGCCCCGCUCUUGAGUCUGACCGGCAGCUGGUGGGCACCUGCCCAGAAAGAGCUCCUCUCCUGGGCCCUGCCUCAGUUCUCUCUCCUUUCCUUGCCUGCCCCCACCCUCUGCGAGGGGCUCUGCCCAUGGCCUCAAGCUCCUAACCCCACUCCGAUGUCAGUGAGCUCCCCGUGGCUGGCUGAGCUCAGCUCAGGCCCCGGCUUCCCUGCAGCCCUUGGCUGGGUACCCCCAGGGCUCUGUCUUCCAGAACGCGGGUGGGGGGAGCAGAUCUGUGAGUCACCCUGCUUCCCGUUGUUCCCACGCUGCUGGCUUCAGGCCCUGAGCCGAGCGGCUGUGCCGAGCUACUGGCAGCAGCCCGGGUCACUGUCACCUUGUUCUGCCUGGCCCUGAGCCAGCUCCUCCCUGGCAGGGCCAGACUUCGGGAUGGGAGGAGUGAGAGCCCAGGAGAGGAUGCUAGGAGGCACAGGUCUACUGCACGGGCCCCAGGCCUCUCUGGGGCUGAUUCCUCCAGCCCUUGGGCUCUUUGCCUGGAGUGCAGCCUCCUCAGAUUCUGGCUGCUGCCCUGCCCCUGCCUUGCCACCGCGGACCACAGGUCGAGCCCUUGUGCUCGUCAGUCUCAAGAGUGGAAAGGUGACCCAGGAGAGCGCCCCGCCAGCAGACCCUAGCCUGGGCUCACGUUGACUCAUACUUGGCAGACUGGUUGUCCCCACUUCCGAGGCUGCCUCUCCUUGGGGGGCUGACUCAUCUUCCUGGACAAGUCCCAUCUGUCCCAGCCUGUGGGCACCGGGACCCUCCUCCAGCCCUGAGAUGUGGGGGCUCUGCUUCUCCUGCUCCGCAGGGAGCAUCCAGACCCCCAGCAAACACUGAUGAUGGUCCUGCCAUGCUCUGCACCUCCUCUCAGGUCUGGAGGAAGCCGAGCGAAUGCAGUAGGGCUUGAUGUAAAUCCUGGUCUCCCUGGGGUCUUGGCUGAGACGAGCUGGGCAUGGAGAAGGUAGUCCGUGAUGGCGGGCAGAGUGAGCUUAACCCUGCAGUCUGUCCACACUGGUGGAGCCCUUGUGUGAUGCAGAUACUGUGUCUAUACCAGCUGAGCUGGUGCAUGCUGCAGGCAGUCUGUCUACACUGGUUGAGUCAAGGGUGUGAGCCCUGGAAUCUUCCAUUUAGUCCGUGCCUGCCCCACUUUCAGUGGAGUCUUUGUACAGACUCUAAAACUCUCUCUGGCUUUGGGGGCUUCCCUGUGGCCGAGCUUAGUUCAACCCAGCUUCCCCUCCGACAAGGCCCUGACCGUCAGGCUGUGUCUCCCAGAGCUGGGGUGGUUAAGCCCAAGGUACAACGCAGUCUGUCUAUACUGGUUGAACCCAGUUCAUGAUGUAAGCCAUUUGUCUACGCAGGUGGAAACAGUGGGUGACGCAGCCAGCCUUUUGGGGACUCCUCUGCCUUAUUCACCAGGAAUAUUCUUUUUUUAUCCUUUCCCUUAUGUACAUGUAUUCAUGCUGAAUCACUUCAAGUCGGAUAUGUCUGAACAGCUGAACAGCAGCGCUGCCUCAGUGCGCGUGGUGAACCGCAUUGCUUCAGGCUGGGUCCAUCUUGCUGUCUCCUGCUUAGAUUCCGGGCCUCCGUCUCCGCUGAUGUCAUUUCACCUCCUGAGGGUUGGCACAUCUGCAGAUUUAAUUUCAUGACCAUUCAUCCCUGGGAAAACACAAUCUAUGCCUAUUAUUUAAUGCUUCUCAAUUCCCUCUGCCAUGAAUUAAAGUGUCAAUGGACAGCCACGGCAACCAGCUCCACCCCCUCGCUCCACCCCGCUGCCGCCUUGGGGUUGUGACUGAAGCCAGCUCCCGGAGUCAGACUGCCUGGGUUCAAGGCCCAGCUUCACCACGUGGUCAGUCUGUGGACUAGGGACCCAGUUUCCUCACCUGUAGAACGGAGAUGACAAUAGAAUACACCUCAUGGAGCUGUUGUGCCUAACAGAUAGCCCGCCCACAGUAGAUGGCAACCGCUGUCAUUUCAUCGUCUUGAUAAACUCCUAUGUUUGGUCUUUUAGCCAAGGUUCAGUCCUUCUCCAUCUCAGGAGCAAGGGAACCUGGCAAUCAAGGGCCUUGUCUAGUGAUGUGACGAAGGCUUAGGGGCGCAUGUGGCCCUACUGACUGGUGUCCCCUUUCUCAGCAGUCUCCUAUGGAUGCCUCUUCCUUGUCCUGUAUUCAGUACACUUGAAAUCUUUUAAAAAAAAAUUUUAUUAAAGUUUAGUAGAUUUCCAAUGUUGUGUCUCUUCUAUACAGCAGUGAUUCAGUUAUACAUGUAAAUAUUAAUAUAUAUUCUGUUCCAUGUUCUUUUCCAGUAUGUUUUAUCCCAGCAUAUUGAAUAUAGUUUCCUGUGCUGUACAGCAGUAUCUUGUUGUUUAUCUCUCUUACACAUAAUAGUGUGCAUCUGUUAAUCCCACACUCCCAGUCUUUCCCUCCCCCAAACCCCUCUUGGCAGCCCUUAGUCUGUUCUCUAUAUCUUGGAGUCUGUUUCUGUUUCAUAGAUAAGUUCAUUUGCAUCGUAUUUUAGAGUCCACGUGUCAGUGAUACCAUAUGGUAUUUGUCUUUCUUUUUGUGGUUUACUUUGCUUAGUACGAUAACCUGCAGGUCCAUCCAUGUUGCUGCAAAUGGCAUUAUUUCCUUCUUUUUCAUGGCUGAGUAAUAUUCCAUUGUAUUGUGUACCACAUCUUCUUAUCCCGUCAUCUGUUGAUGGGUGUUAGGUUGUUCUGUCUUGGCUAUUGUGAAUAGUUUUGCUGGGAACGUGGGGGUGCGUGUAUCUUUUUGAAUUAGACUUUCCUCCGGAUAUACGCCCAGGAGUGGGACUGCUGGAUCGAGUGGCAACUCUAUUUUUAGUUUUUUUACGAACUUCCAUACUGUUUUCCAUAGUGGCAGCACCAAUUUACCUUCCCACCAGCAGUGUAGGUGGGAUCCCUUUUGAAAACCUUUUAUUCUAAAUACAGGAUGCGCUCUGAAGUGCGCACAGAUUGUGGUAUAUGAUGCAGUGAAUAUCUGCAAACAAAACAGGCCUGUGUGCCCUGCACCGGAGUGGGGACCAGAAUAUGGCAGCAUCCCUGUGAGCCCUUCCAGGCGCUUCCCCUCCAGCACGGGUGACUACUCUUCUUAUUCAUAAUGGCGUGGAUUGGUUUUCUUUCUUUUUAAAGUUGACAGAAGUGGAGUUGUAAGUCUGCAUACCUUUGUGUCUGGCUUUCCAUUAUGUUUGUGAGAGUUCCCCACGUUGCUGUAGAUAGUUGUAGCUUGUUCUUUCCUUUUUUCCUUUUCUUUUUGGCUGCUCUGGGUCUUUGUCCUGGAGCACGGGCUCUUCUUUGCAGUGUGUGCACUCUCUCCUUGUGGCACGUGGGCCUAGUUGCCCUGUGGCAUGUUGGAUCUUAGUUCCCUGGCCAGGGAUCAAACCUGUGUCCCUGCUUUGGAAGGUGGAGUCCUAACCACUGGACCACCAGGAAAGUCCCGGUUUGUUCAUUCUUGUUACUGUAUAGGAUCCCAUGGUGUGAAGACAUCCCCGUUUCUUUUUUGGUUCUCCUGUUGAUUGAUAUUGGGGUGGUUCAGAGUUUGGGGCUUAUGGACAGUGCUGCUGUGGACCUUCCUGUGUGUAUCUCUUGGGCGUGGGUACACAUUUUAAUAAACAUGUACCUGGAAGAGAAUUGCUGAGUCUCAGAAUAUGCCCAUGUUCGUUCCGUAGGUGAUGGCAAACAGUUUUCCACAGUGGUUGUACUAAUCCCCCUGACACAUACCAGGCAUGUGUGAGAGUAGCAGCUGCUCCACCUCCUUCCCCACACUUUGUGUUGUCAGUUUCUUUCACUUUAGCUCUUCUAUGAGUAUGUAGAGGUAUCACACUGUGGUUUCCAUUUUAUUCCCCAGACGACUAGUACAACUCUUUUUUUUUUUUU
ensembl:lncRNA